rnacentral:tRNA from 1 species
GGCAGUGUAGUAUAAUGGGUAAGGUACUGGGCUUGUAGCCUAGAGGUCAUAGGUUCGAUUCCUAAUGUUA